UGCCAGCCGCCGCGGUAAGACGGAGGGGGCUAGCGUUGUUCGGAAUUACUGGGCGUAAAGGGCGCGUAGGCGGUCGAUCAAGUUAGGCGUGAAAGCCCUAGGCUUAACCUAGGAACUGCGCUUAAUACUGGUUGACUAGAGUUCGGUAGAGGGAAGUGGAAUUCCUAGUGUAGAGGUGAAAUUCGUAGAUAUUAGGAGGAACACCAGAGGCGAAGGCGGUCUCUUGGUCCGAAACUGACGCUGAGGCGCGAAAGCGUGGGGAGCAAACAGGAUUAGAUA
rnacentral:rRNA from 1 species